rnacentral:rRNA from 1 species
CCUACGGGAGGCGGCAGUGGGGAAUAUUGGACAAUGGGCGAAAGCCUGAUCCAGCCAUGCCGCGUGUGUGAAGAAGGCCUUCGGGUUGUAAAGCACUUUCAGUGGGGAAGAAAGCCUUGGGGCUAAUACCCUCGAGGAAGGACAUCACCCACAGAAGAAGCACCGGCUAACUCCGUGCCAGCAGCCGCGGUAAUACGGAGGGUGCGAGCGUUAAUCGGAAUUACUGGGCGUAAAGCGCGCGUAGGCGGUCUGAUAAGCCGGUUGUGAAAGCCCCGGGCUCAACCUGGGAACGGCAUCCGGAACUGUCAGGCUAGAGUGCAGGAGAGGAAGGUAGAAUUCCCGGUGUAGCGGUGAAAUGCGUAGAGAUCGGGAGGAAUACCAGUGGCGAAGGCGGCCUUCUGGACUGACACUGACGCUGAGGUGCGAAAGCGUGGGUAGCAAACAGGAUUAGAUACCCGUGUAGUC